UAGAAAAUACUAGUACUGUUCUACAGUUGAGUGGCAGAAAAAAAAGAUGAGAGAGAAUGCAUGACUUAAAGUGGAAACAAAGAAAUCCCACCUUUCAUUCCACUAUCUUCUUUCUUUUAUCUCUAUAUAGCUUGGAUUGUGUGUGAGUGUGGUAAUAGUCUCUUUCAGUUUCAGGGGUUGAUUGAUUUGUUAUAAGGAAUUGUAGAAACAAGGUGUGAGAAUUCCUCCUUUGGUAAAAGGGAUAUUGGUAAGAAAAUCUCCAAAUGUUUGAUCUCAAUUAUUUUAAUUUUUUAUUUGGUAGUUUUAGGGUUAGGGUUCUUUGGUUUGAAUGCUCCUUCAUUGCAAUUAUCUAUGAAUAUUGUCUCAUUUUGAUUUUGUGUAGAUCUGAAGAAAUCUUACAAUUAUAAUAAUUAAUGUUUAUUUUGGAUUAAUUAUUAUUAGGAACAGAUGAAGAGAGUUUCCUUCAGUCCACUCAUGGAAGGGUAAGGGGUUUGAAUUACCUGCUGACUCAUUCAUUCAAACACAAUAGAUAAUUAAUUAGGUAAUGCUAUUGUGAAUGUGUGAAUGAUGCAGGAGGUAAAAUUUCUUCCUUUUCUUGUCUUUGCUUGGACUGAAGGGAGCUCCCUUUUUCUCUUUUUAAUAUUUUUAUAUCUUACUCCUUAAUUUUCCUUCUUAGUUAUCACAAUUUUAUUGAAAUAUAUAGUUAACAUGUUUCCAUUUCGGUGAAUUCUCAAUUUCAUCUAGGCAUUUGUUCUUAUAUAUAUAAUUUAAGGUGAAUGGAUGGUGCCUCAGGACAAGACUAGGAAGACCAUAGGGUUUUUAGAGUUCUUAAGGUUUGACAAUGAUUUGUGGCAAUAUUUACCUGCCUCCAAAAGUACUGGCGGAGCUCGAAUGCAAGACCUCCUGGAUCCAAGAUCUGUCUGUUGUGUGUAAUGUUACAUAGAGAGAACAUUAAUCAAUGAGGCUGGUUCCCUGCAAAUCUUGUGUAUAUAUAUGUAAGGUUAGACAAUGAUUCUUGUGGCAAUAUUUUUAUGGUUCUAAAUCUAAUCAUGGUUUUAGACAUUGCAAAAA